GGCCGCGUCGACAUCCUGGCUCAGGACGAACGCUGGCGGCGUGCCUAAUACGUGCAAGUAGAACGCUGAAGAGAGGAGCUUGCUCUUCUUGGAUGAGUUGCGAACGGGCGAGUAACGCGUAGGUAACCUGCCUUGUAGCGGGGGAUAACUAUUGGAAACGAUAGCUAAUACCGCAUAACAAUGGAUGACACAUGUCAUUUAUUUGAAAGGGGCAAUUGCUCCACUACAAGAUGGACCUGCGUUGUAUUAGCUAGUAGGUGAGGUAACGGCUCACCUAGGCGACGAUACAUAGCCGACCUGAGAGGGUGAUCGGCCACACUGGGACUGAGACACGGCCCAGACUCCUACGGGAGGCAGCAGUAGGGAAUCUUCGGCAAUGGGGGCAACCCUGACCGAGCAACGCCGCGUGAGUGAAGAAGGUUUUCGGAUCGUAAAGCUCUGUUGUAAGUCAAGAACGAGUGUGAGAGUGGAAAGUUCACACUGUGACGGUAGCUUACCAGAAAGGACGGCUAACUACGUGCCAG
rnacentral:rRNA from 1 species